UCGGGUUGUAAAGCACUUUUGUCCGGAAAGAAAACUUCGGGGCUAAUACCUCUGGAGGAUGACGGUACCGGAAGAAUAAGCACCGGCUAACUACGUGCCAGCAGCGCGGUAAUCGUAGGGUGCGAGCGUUAAUCGGAAUUACUGGGCGUAAAGCGUGCGCAGGCGGUCUGUUAAGACAGAUGUGAAAUCCCCGGGCUUAACCUGGGAACUGCAUUUGUGACUGGCAGGCUAGAGUGUGGCAGAGGGGGGUAGAAUUCCACGUGUAGCAGUGAAAUGCGUAGAGAUGUGGAGGAAUACCGAUGGCGAAGGCAGCCCCCUGGGCCAAUACUGACGCUCAUGCACGAAAGCGUGGGGAGCAAACAGGAUUAGAUACCCUGGUAGUCCACGCCCUAAACGAUGUCAACUAGUUGUUGGGGAUUCAUUUCCUUAGUAACGUAGCUAACGCGUGAAGUUGACCGCCUGGGGAGUACGGUCGCAAGAUUAAAACUCAAAGGAAUUGACGGGGACCCGCACAAGCGGUGGAUGAUGUGGAUUAAUUCGAUGCAACGCGAAAAACCUUACCUACCCUUGACAUGGUCGGAACCCUGGUG
rnacentral:rRNA from 1 species